GGCUUGUUGAUUAUAAUUUUAGGUCAGGCCUGCCCAAUGAUUUAUUAAAUGGCUGCGGUAUUUUGACCGUACAAAGGUAGCAUAAUCAUUAGUUUUUUAAUUGAAAGCUUGAAUGAAAGGUUAGAUGAAGAAGUUUCUGUCUCUUAAAAAAUUAAUUAGAAUUUUAUUUUUAAGUGAAAAAGCUUAAAUUUUUAUAGAAGACGAGAAGACCCUAUAGAGUUUUAUAUUAAUAAAAAGGUAGGUGAGAAGGAUUGAAAAUAUCUUAUCUUGAGUUUAGUAUUUUAUUGGGGUGAUAGAAAAACUUGUAAAACUUUUUUUUAUUUAGGACAUUAAUUUAUGGGUAUAAGAUUUUAAGGUGUUUAAAUUUGCAGAAUAAAUUACCUUAGGGAUAACAGCGUAAUUUUUCUUAGAGUUCUUAUCAAAAGGAAAGUUUGCGACCUCGAUGUUGGAUUAAAAUUAAUUUUUGGUGUAGGUGCUAAAUAGAUUAGGUCUGUUCGACCUUUAAAAUUUUACAUGAUCUGAGUUUAAACCGGUGUGAG
rnacentral:rRNA from 1 species